rnacentral:rRNA from 1 species
GACGAACGCUGGCGGCGUGCCUAAUACAUGCCAGUCGAGCGCAGGAAGUCAUCCGAACCCUUCGGGAGGACGUUGACGGAAUGAGCGGCGGACGGGUGAGUAACACGUAAAGAACCUGCCCUCAGGUCUGGGAUAACCACGAGAAAUCGGGGCUAAUACCGGAUGGGUCAUCGGACCGCAUGGUCCGAGGAUGAAAGGCGCUCCGGCGUCGCCUGGGGAUGGCUUUGCGGUGCAUUAGCUAGUUGGUGGGGUAAUGGCCCACCAAGGCGACGAUGCAUAGCCGACCUGAGAGGGUGAUCGGCCACACUGGGACUGAGACACGGCCCAGACUCCUACGGGAGGCAGCAGUAGGGAAUCUUCCACAAUGGACGAAAGUCUGAUGGAGCAACGCCGCGUGAACGAUGAAGGCCCUCGGGUCGUAAAGUUCUGUUGUAAGGGAAGAACAAGUGCCGCAGGCAAUGGCGGCACCUUGACGGUACCUUGCGAGAAAGCCACGGCUAACUACGUG